rnacentral:rRNA from 1 species
GAAUCUUCGGAGGAUUUGUUGGGCGUCGAGCGGCGGACGGGUGAGUAAUGCCUAGGAAAUUGCCUUGAUGUGGGGGAUAACCAUUGGAAACGAUGGCUAAUACCGCAUAAUGCCUACGGGCCAAAGAGGGGGAUCUUCGGACCUCUCGCGUCAAGAUAUGCCUAGGUGGGAUUAGCUAGUUGGUGAGGUAAUGGCUCACCAAGGCGACGAUCCCUAGCUGGUCUGAGAGGAUGAUCAGCCACACUGGAACUGAGACACGGUCCAGACUCCUACGGGAGGCAGCAGUGGGGAAUAUUGCACAAUGGGCGAAAGCCUGAUGCAGCCAUGCCGCGUGUAUGAAGAAGGCCUUCGGGUUGUAAAGUACUUUCAGUUGUGAGGAAGGGGGUGUCGUUAAUAGCUGUAUAUCUUGACGUUAGCAACAGAAGAAGCACCGGCUAACUCCGUGCCAGCAGCCGCGGUAAUACGGAGGGUGCGAGCGUUAAUCGGAAUUACUGGGCGUAAAGCGCAUGCAGGUGGUUCAUUAAGUCAGAUGUGAAAGCCCGGGGCUCAACCUCGGAACUGCAUUUGAAACUGGUGAACUAGAGUGCUGUAGAGGGGGGUAGAAUUUCAGGUGUAGCGGUGAAAUGCGUAGAGAUCUGAAGGAAUACCAGUGGCGAAGGCGGCCCCCUGGACAGACACUGACACUCAGAUGCGAAAGCGUGGGGAGCAAACAGGAUUAGAUACCCUGGUAGUCCACGCCGUAAACGAUGUCUACUUGGAGGUUGUGGCCUUGAGCCGUGGCUUUCGGAGCUAACGCGUUAAGUAGACCGCCUGGGGAGUACGGUCGCAAGAUUAAAACUCAAAUGAAUUGACGGGGGCCCGCACAAGCGGUGGAGCAUGUGGUUUAAUUCGAUGCAACGCGAAGAACCUUACCUACUCUUGACAUCCAGAGAAGCCAGCGGAAAACGCAGGUGUGCCUUCGGGAACUCUGAGACAGGUGCUGCAUGGCUGUCGUCAGCUCGUGUUGUGAAAUGUUGGGUUAAGUCCCGCAACGAGCGCAACCCUUAUCCUUGUUUGCCAGCGAGUAAUGUCGGGAACUCCAGGGAGACUGCCGGUGAUAAACCGG